rnacentral:rRNA from 1 species
AUUGAACGCUGGCGGCAGGCUUAACACAUGCAAGUCGAGCGAGCGGCGGACGGGUGAGUAAUGUCUGGGAAACUGCCUGAUGGAGGGGGAUAACUACUGGAAACGGUAGCUAAUACCGCAUACCAUCAGAUGUGCCCAGAUGGGAUGAGCUAGUAGGUGGGGUAAUGGCUCACCUAGGCGCAGAUCCCUAGCUGGUCUGAGAGGAUGACAGGCCACACUGGAACGAGGACACGGUCCAGACUCCUACGGGAGGCAGUAGGGGGGAUGAGUGCAAAAUGGGCGCAAGCCUGAUGCAGCCAUGCCGCGUGUGUGAAGAAGGCCGUCGGGUUGUAAAGCACUUUCAGCGAGGAGGCGUUACUCGCAGAAGAAGCACCGGCUAACUCCGUGCCAGCCGCCGCGGGAAUAC